AGUGAACGCUGGCGGUAGGCCUAACACAUGCAAGUCGAACGGCAGCACAGUAAGAGCUUGCUCUUACGGGUGGCGAGUGGCGGACGGGUGAGGAAUACAUCGGAAUCUACUUUUUCGUGGGGGAUAACGUAGGGAAACUUACGCUAAUACCGCAUACGACCUACGGGUGAAAGCAGGGGAUCUUCGGACCUUGCGCGAUUGAAUGAGCCGAUGUCGGAUUAGCUAGUUGGCGGGGUAAAGGCCCACCAAGGCGACGAUCCGUAGCUGGUCUGAGAGGAUGAUCAGCCACACUGGAACUGGGACACGGUCCAGACUCCUACGGGAGGCAGCAGUGGGGAAUAUUGGACAAUGGGCGCAAGCCUGAUCCAGCCAUACCGCGUGGGUGAAGAAGGCCUUCGGGUUGUAAAGCCCUUUUGUUGGGGAAGAAAAGCAGCAGGUUAAUACCCCGCUGUUCUGACGGUACCCAAAGAAUAAGCACCGGCUAACUUCGUG
rnacentral:rRNA from 1 species